GAUGAACGCUAGCAGAACGCCUAACACAUGCAAGUCGAACGAACCAGCAAUGGUUAGUGGCAAACGGGCGAGUAACGCGUAUCUAACCUACCCUUGAGUGAGGCACAACUACAGAGAUGUAGCUAAUUCCUCAUACGUUCUAGAGAAUGAAAAUAUCUAGAAGAAAGAUUUAUCGCUCAGGGAGGGGGGUGCGUCCUAUCAGGUAGUUGGUGAGGUAAUAGCUCACCAAGCCUAUGACGGGUAGCCGGUCUGAGAGGAUGUCCGGCCGCAAUGGAACUGAGAACGGUCCAUACUCCUACGGGAGGCAGCAGUGGGGAAUAUUGGACAAUGGGCGAAAGCCUGAUCCAGCGAUUCUGCGUGAAGGAUGAAGCCUUAUGGGGUGUAAACUUCUUUUCUGGGGGAAGACGAAUGACGGUACCUCAGGAAUAAGAGACGGCUAACUACGUG
rnacentral:rRNA from 1 species